UACGGAGGGAGCUAGCGUUAUUCGGAAUUACUGGGCGUAAAGCGUGCGUAGGUGGUGAGUUAAGUCUGUCGUGAAAGCCCCGGGCUCAACCUGGGAAUGGCGAUGGAUACUGGCUCGCUAGAGUGCGGUAGAGGAGAGUGGAAUUCCCGGUGUAGCAGUGAAAUGCGUAGAGAUCGGGAGGAACAUCAGUUGCGAAGGCGGCUCUCUGGACCAGCACUGACACUGAGGCACGAAAGCGUGGGGAGCAAACAGG
rnacentral:rRNA from 1 species